CACGUAGGGUGCGAGCGUUGUCCGGAAUUAUUGGGCGUAAAGAGCUUGUAGGCGGUUUGUCGCGUCUGCUGUGAAAAUCCGGGGCUCAACCCCGGACUUGCAGUGGGUACGGGCAGACUAGAGUGUGGUAGGGGAGACUGGAAUUCCUGGUGUAGCGGUGAAAUGCGUAGAUAUCUGGAGGAACACCGGUGGCGAAGGCGACAUCCUGGACCAACACUGACGCUGAGUGAGCGAAAGCCAGGGGAGCAAACGGG
rnacentral:rRNA from 1 species